ensembl:lncRNA
ACACAGGGCUGGCACCAGCAAAGCCAUCAUCAGGAUACCCAAAUGCUGUGUGUUUCAUGUGCACCUCGUGAACCCUGGCCAAUGCCAACAACAGCUCCAGCUUCAGCAAAGGUCAACUUUGACCAGAGGCUAGAGAGCAGUGUUUGGUCUAGUGGGAUAUUUUGUCACAGUUCCCUGCUUUCACCUGAAGGAUAUCUACAUAUCUACAGCGUCUCUUACUGAAGUAACUAGUAACGUAUGAUCUCACUAUGUAACAUGAGCUGCUGUUCCAAGGCAAUCUACAGCCUGAGAGAGUCUCAGAGGACAGGCAAUGACAAAAUGUCCCGUAAGGACAAAAAAUCCAAAUGUAUCUCUUAAAAAAUGAGGACUCAACCCUGAAAAGGGUUAUAUAGCAGAACUCAGCCCUCUCCUUCUCAGUCAUGUAGAACAGACCUUCAGUACCUUAGCCGAAGAAAUAUCUCAAUGCACGGCAACUGCAGAAAGCUGCUCUCCUCUAUUCCAACCAAGCCAUUGAGAAGAUGUAAAAAAAGAACGACGUCCUGACAGCGGCAAACUGAAGGAAUUCCAAGGAAACAGAGUGAUCAUCCUCAGACUCACUAUAAGAUAUGCAAAUGUCGAGGGUACCGUGUGAUGUUCCCAUGACAGCUCCCCCCUCCCUAGCAUGGUCAGGCAUAAUAGUCACAGGAAAAGAAACUGCCUCCAGAUAACCCUGGCCAUGAGGGAAGGCUGUGGACUUUCUUGCUGGGAACUGAGCAUGCAUCUUCUGGGCAUUCACGGCAACCAGAGUAAAUUUAAGUGCCCUCAAAUUCUACAGACCCUGCUGUGAAUCUUAUUGCUAAGGUCUACAUCUCUCCAGAGAAAAUACGAUGCUUACAGUGGCUUAUGGCUCAAGAAAAUGUGACUAAAGACUGUGCACACUGAAGAUGAAUGAAGUUGUUGAGAUGAGCAGGAAGCAAACAUAGUGUUUCACAGAAUCACAGAAUGGCCUGGGUUGGAAGGGACCUCAAGGAUUAUGAAUCUCCAACCCCCCCUCCUGAGGCAGGGCCACCAACUUCCACAUUUCCACAUUUCUACAUUGUAUUCAGAAAACUCAGAUAUUUGGAGUGCUAUUGCAGAAAUGAGGGGCAAAAAUGAUAAUGUCUCUCUACUGACCCAGAACCAAUGGAAAUCUGUCUUGUUAGUCUUCUCAUAUAGAAAAUAACCAAUCUGUCAACAAAACCCUACUUAAUGAAAUCCUCAUUUUAUGCUCCACGUUGGAUUCUAUAUGAAAGUGAUGACUGACAAGCUUAUUUGGUUUUAGUUUUGGCAUUUUCUGGAAGGAAAUAACUGCAUAUAUGACUUCUAAAACUUAACAAAAUACAAAUCACCAACAGCCAGUGACAAGGCUCUGUGAACAGCCUUGUUUUGGAGCACACUGCUGUGGGCAUCACAUCAAACCUCCCUGGACACUGAGUGAAGAAAGAGAGACAGUAGGAGCAAAAAAAUAUAAAUACUGCAUGUUAAAAAAAUUCUCUCCCCCUUCCUUUCCCUUCCUUUCCUGUCCUCACACAUACUUUGGCAUUUAUCUACCAUGACAAGCCUCAUUUCUCCUUUUAAAAGAAUGCAUAAAUGAGCUAUGAAUAUUUGAUCCUUUUUUAAACAAAUAUUUUGGUUUGACAAGUCACAGCAGAUAAGACUACCCAAGAUGGUAGCCAGCUGCUCUGGAGGAAGGAGCAUAGGUAGGGUGGGAGGCCAGUGGUGGAGGCAUCACCUUUUCUGAGACACUGCACACAGGCUGCUUUGUACAACCGUCCAUUGUCCACAGGAGUAACACUUUGCUGUUGUAAACCUCCUGUUUUUAUGCAGAUUACUUCAAAGCAAUUGAUAAUUCUGCAUAUUUUUUUGCAGAGGACAAAUUCUGCCAUGCUUAUGCACCACUUCUGUCCAUGCAUGAGCAGUUCAGCUGACUUCAGUUUGAAUAUUCACAGUUUAUAGUCCAACACCUCAGUGUGUCCUUUCAAGAUGAUCGCUUAAACAGUUCAUAAUUCUUUCUGUCAGGGCUUUUCAGAGAUUUUUCUCUGUGAUGUUGGACAAAUUGAUUCCCACUGUAACCAAUCCAAGUUAGCUGCUUUAUUGAGAAGAUGUUAGCCUCACAUGACAGUGAAAUUCAAAAAAUGGAAUGAAUAAAGGUUUUUAUUUGGACACUCAUUUAUGGAUUUGUCCAUAUCAUAUUUCAGGGUUGACUUCCAGGCAUUUUCUAAUCAGCAUAAAUUCUUCCCAGGUUUUUAUUGUACUAUGCUGAUAUUUUAAAUCAGCGAUCAAUCAGCAGAUUUUCAAAUACCUGCUUCUAUCUGAUUUGCACUAAAGUUGCGAGCAUGUAAAAGGAGUAUUUAAAACUAAACAAACCUAGAUGCUUGUGUGUGAACUUAGCUAAAGUGCCCUUUUUCUCUUUAAAAUCUAUUUAAGUUAUGUUUUCUGGUAGGAUAACACAGAUGGCUUUGGGGGGAUUUUUUGCUUUGUCAAAAUUGACUAUUUAGAGGCAAACUUCUAGGUGAAAAAUUUCUCUCUUUUUACUCGUGUUUAUUUUUUCUACGGUUGUUGCUAUGAAAAAUUAAAAAAUUACAUGU